AGUUUGAAGAGGGGGGAAGAGGGAAACAUGGACAUGAGGAGGAGGAUCCACCUGGAGCUGAGGAACCGGACCCGGCAGCUGUUGGAGAACUUGUCCUGGAUAAUUGCAAAUCAAAUGAUGGGAAAAUUGAGGGCUUAACAGCUGAAUUUGUGAACUUAGAGUUCCUCAGUUUAAUAAAUGUAGGCUUGAUUUCAGUUUCAAAUCUCCCCAAACUACCUAAAUUGAAAAAGCUUGAGCUCAGUGACAAUAGAAUCUUUGGAGGUCUGGACAUGUUAGCAGAAAAACUUCCAAAUUUUACACAUCUAAACUUAAGUGGAAAUAAACUGAAAGAUAUCAGCACCUUGGAACCUUUGAAAAAGUUGGAAUAUCUGAAAAGCCUGGAUCUGUUUAACUGUGAGGUUACUAACCUGAAUGACUACCGAGAGAGUGUCUUCAAGCUCCUGCCCCAGCUGACCUACCUGGAUGGCUACGAUCGGGAGGAUCGGGAAGCCCCUGACUCAGAUGCUGAGAUGGAUGGUGUGGAUGAAGAAGAGGAGGAUGAAGAAGGAGAAGAUGAGGAGGACGAGGAGGAUGAGGAUGGUGAGGAGGAAGAGUUUGACGACGAAGAGGACGAAGACGAAGACGAAGAUGUGGAAGGGGAAGAGGAUGAAGAUGACGACGUCAGUGGGGAGGAAGAAGAAUUUGGACAUGAUGGAGAAGUUGAUGAAGAUGAAGACGAUGAGGAUGAAGAUGAAGAUGAAGAAGAGGAAGAAAGUGGGAAAGGUGAAAAGAGGAAGAGAGAAACAGACGAUGAAGGAGAAAUGAUUAAGACCCCAAAUAACUUGGAAAGAAAACUGUUCAGUAUUGGUUGGACUGCUCAUAUGGAUUUGGUAGCUGUUGAAAAAAAAAAAAAGGUAGCUGUGAUACAAACCCCAGGACACCCACCCACCCAAAGAGCCAAAGAAUAGUUCCUGUGACAUUCCACCUUCCUCCAUUUAGCCCCUCUUGGAAAUUCGCCACCAAGCUUGGGGACUUCACCCCAACAAAAUUGUAAGCAUUGUUAGGUUUUCAUGUCAGACUUGCUGUAGCGUGGAGAGCUGUGACUGGGGAGCCGGCCGUCUGUAGCUACCAGUUACACCGAGACUGUAACAGCAUUUUUACUUUCUGUACAACAAAGAGGCUUUGUAAAUAAAAUCUUAA